CCUACGGGAGGCAGCAGUGGGGGAUAUUGCACAAUGGGGGAAACCCUGAUGCAGCGACGCCGCGUGGGUGAAGAAGUAUUUCGGUAUGUAAAGCCCUAUCAGCAGGGAAGAAAGAAGACGGUACCUGACUAAGAAGCCCCGGCUAACUACGUGCCAGCAGCCGCGGUAAUACGUAGGGGGCGAGCGUUAUCCGGAUUCACUGGGUGUAAAGGGAGCGUAGGCGGCCGUGCAAGCCAGGAGUUAAAGCCCGGGGCCCAACCCCGGGACUGCUCUUGGAACUGUGCGGCUGGAGUGCGGGAGGGGCAGGCGGAAUGCCUGGUGUAGCGGUGAAAUGCGUAGAUAUCAGGAGGAACACCGGCGGCGAAGGCGGCCUGCUGGACCGCGACUGACGUUGAGGCUCGAAAGCGUGGGGAGCGAACAGGAUUAGAUACCCGGGUAGUC
rnacentral:rRNA from 1 species